UCCAAGUGGCACUGUAGAGGUAUUGUUCCCAUUUUCCAGGCAGUUAAAUGAAGGCCUGGAGAGAGCAGGAGUCCCUUUUUCCCAGGUCCUUGGUCAAGACACUCGCAAUCAUAAUGAGCAAGCAUGUUUUUUUAUUGUUCUCUCAGGUAGGCCCCAGGGCCUGAAGUUCCAAUGUCUCAUGUCUUUUGUCUCUGCGUCUGCUGUGACAGCUAGGCCUGGCACAGUGGUGAGAGCUCAGAGAAUGGUUGUUGACAGAAUAUCCAUCUAUUUCCUCUCCCUUGAGUGUCAGAAGGAGAGAGAAUUGGAGGACAUGUUGGAAGGUCUAACAUCCCUGAGGGCUGGAUGGGGCUGAAGAUGGCGGAGCACUAGCAGGCCUGAGCCAUUAAAAGAAGCUGAAGUGUUUUAAGUGCUUUGGGGCAUUUAGAAUCUGAUGUGUCACUGAGACAUCCAGCGGAGCACUCCCCAUAGGAGUCCUGGCAAUAUAGCAAAUUCAAAACCAACCAGCCUGGGCUAUAGGAGAUCCAAAGGAACAUGCUCAGGACUUGAACUCAGUUCCAUCUGGAAGGUACCACAUCCCUAAUCCUGUCUGCAUAUGGUAGUCAAGGAAAAGACUGGAAUAGAAAACGUAUACCUUAAAGAGGGAAAGUGGGAGGUGAUGGGGGAGAUGAGCUCAGAGAAGGGCCAGAUCAGAGGUCUCUGGGCCCCUGAGGGAUCUGGGGUGUGGCAGGAGAGCCGGACAUUAGGGAACAACCCUCUUUAGCACAGCAGCAGCCUUCAUCAGGGACCUGUGCUGUGGGAAACUAGGAAGUAGAGGCUGUUGGCUGGGAAAGGACCUGAAGGAAGGAAGUGCCCUGUGACUACGUGGGCUCUGGAGAGCAGGACAGAUGGUCUGGACUGGUUUGGAAAAGACUGGCGUGGAUGUGCGCAGGCAGGAGUAGGAGGUAAUGCGCUCGAAUAUUCUUGUUUUGCACAGGUGGACAGGAACAGCUUCAUCUUUGGAAAGCGUCCAUCCUAUCUCCUCUACCCCAACACGCAGGCCUCUAACUACGCUGUCCUCAGGCCUCAGCCCCGGUCUCCACUGUCCCCAGCCCACGGCUCCCCUGAGGUUAUCCAGGACCGGCCCCUCCCACUCCUGUCUGCAGUCUCACUCUCCCUGGCCCAGACCAGUGAGGCAGGAGGGAGGAGUUUCCAGGCAGGAAAGAGCUGAGUCACUCGGUGGCACAUCUGGUCUCAGAUCUUGAUACCCAGCUGGAAGGGGCAGGAAGGAAGAGGCCACCUCCCCCACAAACUCUCCUGACUGAAUCCUAGGGUUUUGCCAACUGUGUGGGGCAGGCUGGGAGAUGCUGCUGGCGUGGUAGCAACAACCUUGGCCAGGCUGCCUCGCCCACUUGCCUGGGUCCUUUGCUGCUGUGAUUGCCGUUAAUGUUCGUUCGGGAAAAGCCUGGGAACACUUGGGUGGAUUGUCUCCAUGGUGCAGGUGACAGAGUGGCUUGCUCAAGAGCACAGCAUUUUGGAGAGCCAGCCUGUAUUUGAAAAGUGAAAAAGAACAUUCGAACCCUCGACUCACAUGAUUCUGUAGCAUUUUCUGAGUCAAGAGAGAACUGAGGGCUGGAGAGAUGGCUCAGUGGUUAAGAGCACUGACUGCUUUUCCAGAGGUCCUGAGUUCAAUUCCCAGCAACCACAUGGUGGCUCACAACCAUCUGUAAUGGGAUCUGAUGCCCUCUUCUGGUGUGUCUGAAGACAGCGACAGUGUACUCAUAUAAAUAAAAUAAAUAAAUAUAAAUAAAAAG
rnacentral:lncRNA from 1 species